rnacentral:rRNA from 1 species
CCGUUAAUCAAGAACGAAAGUUAGAGGUUCGAAGGCGAUCAGAUACCGCCCUAGUUCUAACCAUAAACGAUGCCAGCCAGCGAUCCGCCGAAGUUCCUCCGAUGACUCGGCGGGCAGCUUCCGGGAAACCAAAGCUUUUGGGUUCCGGGGGAAGUAUGGUUGCAAAGCUGAAACUUAAAGGAAUUGACGGAAGGGCACCACCAGGAGUGGAGCCUGCGGCUUAAUUUGACUCAACACGGGAAACCUCACCAGGCCCGGACACCGGAAGGAUUGACAGAUUGAGAGCUCUUUCUUGAUUCGGUGGGUGGUGGUGCAUGGCCGUUCUUAGUUGGUGGAGCGAUUUGUCUGGUUAAUUCCGGUAACGAACGAGACUCUAGCCUGCUAAAUAGACGAUUUCCGGUAUCCACAAUAGUGCUACCGGCGAAAUCAAUAUCUUCUUAGAGGGACAGGCGGCUUUCAGCCGCACGAAACUGAGCAAUAACAGGUCUGUGAUGCCCUUAGAUGUCCUGGGCCGCACGCGCGCUACACUGAAGGAAUCAGCGUGUACACCCUGGCCGAAAGGCUCGGGCAACCCGUUGAACCUCCUUCGUGCUAGGGAUUGGGGCUUGCAAUUGUUCCCCAUGAACGAGGAAUUCCCAGUAAGCGCGAGUCAUAAGCUCGCGUUGAUUACGUCCCUGCCCUUUGUACACACCGCCCGUCGCUACUACCGAUUGAAUGAUUUAGUGAGGUCUUCGGACUGGUGCGCGGCGACCGCAUGCGCGGCCGCCGAUGCCACCGGGAAGAUGACCGAACUUGAUCAUUUAGAGGAAGUAAAAGUCGUAACAA